AUGUGGGCGAUCUGGUGGGCUAGGAGGAGAGCAAUUCACGAUGACGAAUUCCAAAGCCCUCUUUCUACAAUGUGUUUUGUGAACAGAUACUUGGAGGACCUGGAGAUCGCUGCCAAACGCGCUCCAGCGCGUCCCUCGCAGCCGGUGGUACAAAGGCAGCGCAGGUGGAUCCCGCCGGGAGAGGAAGCAAUGAAGAUCAACGUAGACGGGGCUAUCUCUCGCCAAGGAGGAACGGGUGCAUCGGCUGCUGUGUGUCGGGACAAAGAAGGCAACUACCUGGGAUCUUCAGCGGUGGUUUUUGAAGGAUUAGUCGACGCCCCAAGCUUGGAAGCUCAAGCGUGCAACGAGGCGCUUGCCCUUGCUCAAGAUCUAUUGCUGGCACAUGUGGUAAUAGCCUCGGAUUGCAUGCAGGUUGUUUCGGAUAUUAAGGGGGCGGCGUCAUCUUCCUCUUAUGCUUUUGUAAUUGAAGAGAUUAAAGCUAGAGUUACAGACUUUGUAGGAGUUAAAUUUCGUUUUGAAAGUAGGGAGGCAAACUUUGAGGCCCAUGCCUUGGCAAAGGCAGCCUCGUCUCUCCCUACGGGUCGCCAUCUGUGGCUAGGGAACCCGCUAGACAUUAUAUGUAUUCCUCCGGUUUUGGCUGAUCAAUAA
rnacentral:rRNA from 1 species